rnacentral:lncRNA from 1 species
GAAAUGAUUGGGGUAAAAUUGUUCAUUCUCAGGUAACCUUCUGACAAUUUUCACUCUAUGUGCCUUUUCUAUUAAAUUAUGUGUGUCUCUUAUGGUGCAAGACAGAUCUAAAUCUUCCAUGGGAAACCAUUGUCAGCAUCUAGGUCUGAUCUGUUUGUUGGACUUUACAUUUGGGGGUCACUACUAUACACCUAAAUUAUACAGUACUUGGGGUAGGAAAAAUGCCUUUUCCGUAGAAGGGACAGUAUAUGUAGACACUCAGCAACUCCUGUCAAAUAUCCUCCACCAGUCUUGUGGUUUUCAUAUACAAAAAUGUUGUAUUAUGUGACUUGAAGACUCUUGUUUAGGCUUACUUGUAAUUUGCUCUAUUAAACCCAACAAAUAGAAUUAAUUUGUUACUAAUAGGUAACUUUUGUGUGUGUGGGUUUUCAGCUAAGUAAUAUUUAUCUAUCUGCCUGUCUAUCUAUGCCCAGGUUAAGCAAAUAUAUAUAUAUAUGUAUACACACACACACACACACACAUAUAUAUAUACAUACACACACACAUAUAUAUAUAUAUCUAUAUAUAUAUGCAUGGUUUAGGAAGCAUUUGACCUCUCUCUACACCCUCUCUCUCUCCGUUCCUCAGUCCUCUUGUAUUAUAAUCAGGACUGACAUACAAAAGUCCAUUUAGGGGAUGUAUCUUGUUUUAAAAAAUACUACUGUUGGUGUAUUAAUUUUGCUCCAAUGUUUAACACAUAUGAUGCUUUUAAAAAUCUAUUUAUUUUUACUUUGUGUGCAUUGGUAUUUUGGCUGCUUAUACGUCUGUGUGAGGCUGUUAGAUCCUGGAGUCAUAGUCAGUUGUGAGCUGCCAUGUGAGUGCUGGAAACUGAACCCCAGUCCACUGAACUAUUUCUCCAGCCACCCCUAGACCCCGUUCUUUUAAAGGCAGUCUUCCUAUGUGUUGCCAGACUGGUCUGGAAUUCUCCCCCCUCCUGGUCUUUGCCUCCAGUGUGCUGGGAUUAUGGAAGUGUGAAAUCGUGCUAGGUUGGGAUUCUCAAGAGAAUAAACAGCCUAAUGUUUCUCUUCAUAUUUAGUUACAUCGAGGAGUUUCUGCAUGAGUUACACAGCUUGGACUAAUCAAUUUACCAGAGAGAUGUCAAUACGAUUAUACCAUUAAAAGGAAUGAAAGGAAUGCACCUAAUAAAAUUGCCACAUAUGUUAUUGCCUCUUCAAUAUAACGCCCCAAACAGUAACUUUUGUAACUAAGAAGCACACUUACAAAACCACCAUUAUUACUUAAUAGAAAAUUGUAUUGUUUUGCUCUUAAUGUAUACUAAUAUAUCUCCAGAUCAAUGAAAUCUAAGUUCAAGAUGAAGAUGAUAUGUGGAUAUAAUAUACAGAGGCAUUUUUGACUUGAGGCAGCUCAAUAUUUUAUAAGAAAAAUGCCGAAGGGUUGAGCUCUAGUCCAGUACCAGGGUACUUACUGGUCACCAUGAGGCUACAGUUCCAUUCUUCCAGACCUAACUCAGCAUUUUUAUAUCAAAAAGUAUGUCAUUUAGGGAAGUUUCAGGAUGAAACCCUGCAGGAGGGGAAAAAAUUGAAUUUCUUAAUGCACAGUUGCUUCUAUAUCAGUUUCAGCUUUAAUUUUGUAUCUGAAGGAUAAAAACACACAAAUCGAAUAUACAGUACAAUUAUGCUGGCUGCUAGCUAUAUGAGAGUAAGUUUAUCAUAUAUGCAAUUCACAUAAAGCACAUACAACUAUGUUCUGGGACAUAUAUGUUUUCACUUGUGGGUUCAUCUUUGCAUGCAAAUAAAAAUCUCACUGCAAUAACGUUCUAUAGUGAGGAUGCUCAGUGAUUUUUUUUCGUGAACACAUACUUUAAUAACAUGCAUUUUAUGAGUUAGAAUCGCAGCAAACCCACAAAGUGAACAGAUUCUAGUUUAAUCUAUUAUCGUUUUUUGCUGGUGUAGCAUACGAUGAUUCACUCAAUACUUUAAUGUCAACUUGUUGAUUAAAAUAGAAUGCAUAAUUCAAUUUUCUAUGGGGACUUCCUCGGAGGAAGGCUGGGAAUGAGUUAUUCUGAAAAGAGACUUCAGGGCGAGAAAAUACUGGAAAUUACCUAAGUGAAAUUUAAUUAAUUUGGUUUCCUAAUUGUAGAUUUGAAAGAGUAUCAGGAAGGGCUAUUUAUUGUACCACAUCAACCAAUUCUCUGUGAUAAACAGAGAGAGAAAAUACCCAGUGCCAAUUUUACACGUCAAGGGCACAGCUCAGAGGUUGGUAAUGUCUACCCUGGAGGAAGAUAAAAAUGGAAAAAUUAUUUUCAGCAGUUUUAUCAUGGAAAAUUUGCUUUUAAACUCAAGUAUUUUCUUUUCAAGCCUUUAUUUUAAAACAGAUGCUACCAGGCAGGGAACAUAUAUAAUGCAGUUCUUGCCUUACCCGUGUGCUUUUGAGAGGGCUAUGAAACUACCAAUUCUUUCAUUUCAGGGUUGAAAAAAAAAAAAAAA